rnacentral:tRNA from 1 species
GGGCCCGUAGCCUAGUAUGGAUAAGGCGUCGGCUUUCUAAGCCGAAGACCGUGGGUUCAAAUCCCUCCGGGCCCG